GAUGAACGCUGGCGGCGUGCCUAAUACAUGCAAGUCGAGCGAACGGACGAGAAGCUUGCUGCUCUGACGUUAGCGGCGGACGGGUGAGUAACACGUGGAUAACCUACCUAUAAGACUGGGAUAACUUCGGGAAACCGGAGCUAAUACCGGAUAAUAUUUUGAACCGCAUGGUUCAAUAGUGAAAGACGGUCUUGCUGUCGCUUAUAGAUGGAUCCGCGCUGCAUUAGCUAGUUGGUAAGGUAACGGCUUACCAAGGCAACGAUGCGUAGCCGCCCUGAGAGGGUGGGCGGCCCCACUGGAACUGGGCCACGGCCCAGACUCCUACGGGAGGCAGCAGUGGGGAAUCUUCCGCAAUGGGCGGAAGCCUGACGGAACAACGCCGCGUGAGUGGUGAAGGUCCUCGGAUCGUAAAACUCUGUUAUUAGGGAAGAACAUAUGUGUAAGUAACUAUGCACAUCUUGACGGUACCUAAUCAGAAAGCCACGGCUAACUACGUG
rnacentral:rRNA from 1 species